UACAGAGGUCUCAAGCGUUGUCCGGAAUUAUUGGGCGUAAAGAGCUCGUAGGCGGUCUGUCGCGUCGGCUGUGAAAAACCCGGGGGCUCAACCCCGGGCCUGCAGUCGAUACGGGCAGACUAGAGUGCGGUAGGGGGAGACUGGAAUUCCUGGUGUAGCGGUGAAAUGCGCAGAUAUCAGGAGGAACACCGGUGGCGAAGGCGGGUCUCUGGGGACGGUACUGACGCUGAGACGCGAAAGCGUGGGGGAGCGAACAGG
rnacentral:rRNA from 1 species